rnacentral:ncRNA from 1 species
AAUGAACAUGUAUAUUUGUCCAUACGCGCGGCAGGGCCAUACGCCCGCCCGCUGCGGCGGACCGCCUUCGUGCGGAAGGCUGCGCGGGUCGAUUGUGAUGCCAAGCGACUGAGCUA